rnacentral:lncRNA from 1 species
GUCUACGUGCGGAUUUUGCAGUCGGCAAGGAGAGUGUGCGCUCGUGGCCGUGGGCCCCUCUGUGCUCUCUCAGGCUGGGAACCACCCUAGGGCAGGGGAGGUCCCUCUUGUGGCUCUCUUGGCUUGGCAGAAAUGCCACUCAUUUAUACCCGUGUCUGUUUUUGUUCCAGGUUUGUCCAAGACAAAGACUUAGCUGGCAGAAGACUCCAAAGGCCCUGGUGAAAACCCAUUCCUCUUCCCACCCAAAGAGGCCUCUUUCUGGAUCAUCGCCCGCACAUCAAGUGGCUGCCCCUUCUGUGAGCCUAACAGUGCAGAACCAGCACCCCAGGGACUCGUGACUGCCCUCUGUAAGUUGGGGAUGAGACACCACCCUUCCCUCUCCUUGACCCCUAACUUCUCACUAC